rnacentral:piRNA from 2 species
UACUCACUGAUAAGUGGAUAUUAGCC